AUUUACUUGUCGUCUUCCCCACCCAGUUGGUUGUUUGUUCUUCCAUAUCAGAUCCCUGUCUUCACAGAGACUGCUCCUAAAGUCUUUAUUCCAGUCAAACUCAUUUGAAAUAGAGACUUCAGGAUGGGCACUAUGUACAGAGUCCCACUAUAACUGGAGAGGGGCUUUCUGUUGACAAAGAUGUGGUGAAGGACUUGCUGAGCAGUAUGAAACUCCCAUCUCUGAGUAUCUGCGGUUAACUUCUAAGGAGACAAAGGGAGAUGGGUCCUGGCCACACUGGAAAAGAGAAAUUGAUCAUUAAUACCUUGGGACAUUAAGAUUGAAGGUCAAAAUCAAGUCAUUACAAAUCUAACCUUUUAAACUUGAGUGCCGGUUAGUAUGGUUUUCAAUUCCUGAUAGUCAAGGAGAUUUUCUGAUCAGCCAUUCAUACAUUGUUCAGGGAGCCCACACUUCAUAUGGGAUGAUCAAGCACAUCCGGUUUUUAAA